AAGAGAGGGCCGCUGGAAGCCAAGAAGAGCGGGCCGGAGAGAACACAGAGGGCCAGGCUGGGCUCCUGAGCCUGAAGCCUGCCCAGAGAAGCCGGCUAGGCCUCAGGAAACCUCGGAGCAAAUUCACCAUUUCCAGAAGGUCUCUGAUGUUCCCAUGCACUUGUUGAAUUUUUCCAGCCCUGGAGUGGAUGCCUGCAUUAGAGGAGCAGUUCCCAUUGCAGUGGGAACUGCCUGCCAGGUGCCUCGCCCCGUGGGACUGGCAGACACGACACAGACACUGAACAUUUUACUCCCUCUUUUUCUCCAGGACCUUUAACCCAAUAGUCUCUUUGUGGGCUGGGGCUUUAGCCGGGCAUCAAGACUUGGAUCGCAAGUAAUUUCUGCAGAACAAAAUGAAGGAGAAAAAAGCCAGCUCUGUGCCCCUGUUGGAAGCUCCCAGUGGAACUAGAACUCCACAGUCCCAGCUCCAAGAGAGUCAUGUGUUCAUUCAUUCAAUAAUUUGAGAGCCUACUAUGUGCUGAAACUGUGAAUCAGACACAGCCUCUGCCCUCAAAGGACUUGCAGUGGAGUUAGAGAUCAGAACUCUAAUCUACUUUUUCACAGAUGAGAAGACUGAGGUCCAGAGAAGUUAUGCCAUGCUUAAGGCCACACUGCAAAAUACUACCAGAAGUGAGACCAGAGCUGUCUUCCCACAACUCAGUUCAGAUUUGGCUAAGAUCAAGUGCAGAACUCUUUCCCAAUGGACCACCCACCCUUUUGAGGGCCACAUCUCAGCUUCUAUUUGAGACACUACCUAGUUUUCAUGACCUUUCCUUCUGUGCACCCUCUGCAACCCCCCUCCAAAACCUGGAGCCUAGGGUUUGGAAAAGAAAAUGGUGAGCCCUGAAGAGAAACUCACACGCUGGGCAUUUUGAACCAUCCUCUGAAAGAAAAGGAAAUGUGACUUUAUCCUCCCUUAAGCAUUAACUCUUCCUAUGACCGAGAGGUUGAAGCCGUUAAAAACAAAACAAAAAGCCUGAGUGGUCUCACUCAGGACCGGAAGGUGGAUCCCCGCCCCCUGGUACUCUGCUAAGACAGAUGGGGAACCACCUGUCAGAGGACUGUGGGCGGGGGCCCGGCCGAGAGGGCCCCGGGACCGGAGGGUGAGCGCCGCUGAGCGCACGCUCAGAGCAGACAGCUUGCAGGAGGCAGGAGAUGAUGGUCUAAAACCCUGAGAGCUGACGGUCAGAGCGGGGGGGGGGGGGGGGAAGGUAGUCACGGAGGGGAGACAGCUACAGGAGGUGGAGAAUCCUGGAGGUGACAGCAAGGAGAGUACGCAACCGCGAGGGGCGGCUUCUGCGCCGACGCCGGGCGGUCGGGCGAGAGGAAAGCAGGGCAACGCUGCGCCGCUGCGGGCGGGCCCCGCCCGGGCGGGGGGUGCCAUGUCUCGAGAGCGGCCCCCCCGCACCGACAUUCCCCGCAACCUGAGCUUCAUAGCCGCACUAACAGAGCGUGCCUACUACCGCAGCCAGCGGCCCAGCCUCGAGGAAGAGCCGGAGGUGGAGCCAGGCGAGGGUGGGACGCGCCUUGGGGCCCGAUCCCGCGCUCACGCUCCGAGUCGGGGUCGCCGGGCCCUUUCUGCGCCCGCCGGAGGCGGCGGGGUCCGGGCGCCCCGCAGCCCCGACACCCGCAAGAGAGUGCGUUUCGCCGACGCGCUUGGGCUGGAGCUGGCCGCGGUGCGCCGCUUCCGCCCGGGAGAGCUGCCCCGGGUGCCCCGCCACGUGCAAGUCCAGCUGCAGAGAGACGCCCUCCGCCACUUCGCGCCGUGCCAGCCUCGCGCCCGCGGCCUCCAGGAGGCGCGCGCCGCCCUGGAGCCGGCCAACGAGCCUGGCUUCGCCACCCGCUUGCAGGCGCAGCGCAUCUGCCUGGAACGCGCCGAGGCGGGCCCGCUGGGCGUGGCCGGGAGCGCGCGCGUGCUGGACCUGGCCUACGAGAAGCGCGUGAGCGUGCGCUGGAGCGCCGACGGCUGGCGGAGCCAACGCGAGGCACCCGCCUCCUACGCCGGCCCGGCCCCGCCCCCGCCGCGCGCAGACCGCUUCGCCUUCCGCCUUCCGGCGCCACCCAUUGGGGGCGCCUUGCUUUUCGCCUUGCGCUACCGCGUGACCGGCCACGAGUUCUGGGACAACAACGGCGGCCGUGACUAUGCUCUACGCGGGCCCGAGCACCCCGGGAGUGGCGGGGCCCCGGAGCCCCAAGGCUGGAUCCACUUUAUCUGAGACGCCUGGGCCGACGGCGGGAAAACCAAAGGCACCCAGGGGCUGGGGGAGCCCGAAGAUUUGGCGGGGAGGAAUGAGAGAAACCGAGAUUGGCUGGGAGCUGUCCAAGAGAGUCAAAAGGGGUGGAGAACCUACUUCCUUUUCUCCAAGACCAUGGUUGAUCCACCUUCCUCCCUCAGGCUCCUUCUUGACAGUCUUCUAGAAGGGAGAAGAGGGAAAAGAAGCAGUUCCUGAUGCAGAUGAACAGCUGCUCCCAGGUAACCAGCUCCCCACACUCUUUUCUACCUGUUACUAGUUUCUCAAAAAUGUCUGAAUCCUCCUCUUCCUUAUUACUGAGUCAGAGAGUGCAUGCACAUGUGCCCAUACAUGCAUUCAGAACAGAGUAUGGAGUGUGUUACCAGGCCCCUCCUAUCCAAAGCCUUAGUCCUUUAAAGGAAGAUGGCCGAAAAGAGAGGAACCCCGAGUCACUCCUCAAAGAAAUGCCGGUUUAAACAUCAUCCUUAUGUGAUGAAGAAAACAAAGAAUUUCAUGUAUCUUGUGGAUCACCUUCAGGUCAAAGUUCCAGCAGAGUGAAGAAAGAACCUCCUGGAAGCCACCAAGCAAUGCGCUUUUUAGUCAUCAAUGAAGAGCCCAAGGGAGGAUGAUGGAGAGGGAGCCUGGGUCGAGGCUCAGUAUAUACUAAUCUCUUGCCUAAUGUGUAUGCACUAUUGUCAUGUUGUAUUAACAAUCAUAAUAGCUCACAUUUACUUAUCCACUCAAAUUUGGUGUCUUGCAUGCAUUACAAUCCUCAGAACAACCCAAUCAGUUGAGAAAUACUAUCCCUGUUUUAGAGAUGAGGAAACAGCUCAGAAAAGCAUAGUAAUUUGUUCAAGAUCACAUCACUGGUAAAUGGCAUUGCUAGGAUUGUGAACUCAGGCUCUCCAGAGCUUCUGUAUAUAACCAUGUUACUAUAUUUUUUCAUUUAAAAACAAAACUGAAAACUUUACCAUAUAUAAUCUCUUAUUAGGAGGAGACCACAGUUUCUAACUGCUCCGCCUUCCCAUCCUCGCAGAUUACUGAACUGGCUUAGAGAAGGCAAAGUGCUGUGGGUCCCACACUCCCAUGCAGGAGCUUGCUGCUCUCUCCUGUACCAGUGUCCCAGCUCUGCAGAAGUAGCAAGGGACCACACUGCCUGCCUGCUAGAGAACUUGGGAACCCAUUUGAACUCCAGCUUUUCCUUACAUUGGGAUUCUCUCCUGGCCUAAAUAACAUUCUACACCUGUUGGUGUGACACCCCUUUCCACUCCCCUGACUGGUCUUGAACUGACCAGUCCUUAAAGUCUCCACUAAAAGGUAUCCCUGACUAGGACAACUGUUGAAUGAUCUGUGCUUGGGCCCUCUCUGCAAGCCCUGGUAUUACUGAGUGGAUAUGUAAACUGGUUGGAGACAGGGAACCAAGGAUAAUCCGUUUUUCCCUGAGCUUUCUCUGUAAGAAGUACUAUGGCUCACUCACCCCCCACCUCCCAUUCUCAGCUUUAUAGAACCAACACCUGAAUCUUCUAGUUCUUCCCAUAAAGAGCUGCCCCAGGGCCUGGGGGUAAGCUGAUCUAAUCUGAUAUGGGGAACACUAGAAGUUUGGUGGAAUUUUUAGAGAGGUGUUAGGUGUUAGGCAUUGGGAUGGGUCCUUUCCCCCUGAAGGCUGAUGACUAUAUGAACAGGAGCAAUUUAGUGUAUAACAGGUCAGCUGUGGACUAGGCAGCACUAGAAGAGAAAACAUUGCCUUGAUCAGGGGCUUGGGUCCUUGAAGUCACACAGCUGGAACACUUUUGCCCGGUUUUCCUACACUUACCUGUCUGACAGCCUUCCUCUCGUAUCUUUGUUUCUCUUUAUGCAUGUAGCUCAUUUCUCUUCACAAUAAGCCCUAACUCCUAAACUUUCCAAUCGAACUCCCACAUUCCCUUGCUUUUAACACCUGCCUUUCUCUGGAGCUCCUCUGGAUCCUUGCAAUCUGCAAGAUCAUAGAAUCAGAGACCUGGAAAAGCUUGUCUUUAGACAUCACUGGGUCCAUUCUCCAGUACAAAUGAGGACACAGGUCCAGAGAUGGGGAGACUUCAGCAGGGUCAGAGAAUUUGUUAGUACAGCUCGAGAUGGGGCUUAACCCCAGCCCUCCUGACCAUAUCCCACUCCCAGGCUACAAAACGGGCCUCUACAGUCAGACCCGCAAUUUUUCAUGGCAAGCAAUAAUAUCAUAAAUGUUUCAUUUUCUGUUGCUAGUUUCUAUUCCCUUCCUUAUCCAGGCAUAGAAAGAAACAAAAGGCACUUGUAGUUUUCUCUGUGUUCCCAGCCUUGGUACUUCUUUGGGUGAUAUUGCUAAGGAACAGUGAAGUUGCUAAAAAGACUGAAUAAUCCACCUAUUGACUAGUUAACCUGGAGAGGAAUUAAAAGUUUGCUAUGUGAAUCCCCCCAAACCACUGUUCUCAUCAGGCCCUCCCAGAGCGUCCUCACCCUCUUCACAGUGCAGCCCUGUUCACUGGGCCCCAAACCCACUAGAAUUGUGCCUCACUUCAGCUUCCUCAUGCAGCUGCCCUCCCUUCUGGAUAAAAGACCUCAUAUUUGAAAUAAAGUCGAAAUAUGAAAGUA